GUCUAUGCUGAAAACAUAGCGUCUCUGUCACAAUACCAUGGGGUGAUGUUUCAAAGUAAAACCAGCGCUAUUCUAGCAAAGUGAUAAAUGUCGGGAGAAAUUCUGUUGGUUUCCAUGGUGAUUACUCUUUAUUUUGCACUUUACGCAUGUGGCGAAAGUGACCUCGCCACUGGAUUUUGGAGGGGCCUGUUUGCCAGCCUCCUGCCCUGCGACUAUGGCCCUGGGAUGUUUUGC